rnacentral:rRNA from 1 species
UACGUAGGGUGCAAGCGUUGUCCGGAAUUAUUGGGCGUAAAGAGCUCGUAGGCGGUUUGUCGCGUCGGCUGUGAAAACCUGGGGCUCAACCCCGGGCCUGCAGCCGAUACGGGCAAACUAGAAUUCGGUAGGGGAGACUGGAAUUCCUGGUGUAGCGGUGAAAUGCGCAGAUAUCAGGAGGAACACCAAUUGCGAAGGCAGCUCGCUGGGACGUAACUGACGCUGAGACGCGAAAGCGUGGGGAGCAAACAGG